rnacentral:rRNA from 1 species
CUUUGGGAUAACCCUCGGAAACGGGGGCUAAUACCGGAUAGGACAUGCCAUUGCAUGAUGGUGUGUGGAAAGGAUUUCGGUUCGGUGGGGGAUGGGCUCGCGGCCUAUCAGCUUGUUGGUGGGGUGAUGGCCUACCAAGGCGGUGACGGGUAGCCGGCCUGAGAGGGCGACCGGCCACACUGGGACUGAGACACGGCCCAGACUCCUACGGGAGGCAGCAGUGGGGAAUAUUGCACAAUGGGCGAAAGCUUGAUGCAGCGACGCCGCGUGAGGGAUGACGGCCUUCGGGUUGUAAACCUCUUUCAGCUCUGACGAAGUCGCCUGUUUUUGCGGGUGGUGACGGUAGGGGUAGAAGAAGCGCCGGCCAACUACGUGCCAGCAGCCGCGGUAAGACGUAGGGCGCGAGCGUUGUCCGGAUUUAUUGGGCGUAAAGAGCUCGUAGGCGGCCUGUCGCGUCAACCGUGAAAUUCUGCAGCUCAACUGUGGGCGUGCGGUUGAUACGGGCGGGCUGGAGUUCGGUGGGGGAGACUGGAAUUCCUGGUGUAGCGGUGAAAUGCGCAGAUAUCAGGAGGAACACCGGUGGCGAAGGCGGGUCUCUGGGCCGAUACUGACGCUGAGGAGCGAAAGCGUGGGGAGCGAACAGGAUUAGAUACCCUGGUAGUCCACGCUGUAAACGUUGGGCGC